AGUCAUGUGCUUAAGGUUAUUCAUGUACUUAAGAAUUGCACAAGAGGUGGCUUUUUCUCCAGAGGCUCACUAGUUAUUAGAGAGAGGAUACACAUAUAUACACACACACGUACUCCAGGCUAUACAUACAUCUGUGGAAGCCAUGCUCAGGAAUGACAACUACAUAUAAAACAAAGUCUUCGUAUAACAUAAGUUAUGACUUCUGAUUAUUUAAAAUUGGGAGAAGAUAACUGGAUAAAGGAAAAAGCACCAAGACUGAAAUCUGGGACCUUGUUAACAUGGACCUGACCUGCUAAGAUCCAACCUGAGUGCUGAGACUAUUUCUGGUCCCCUUGAACUGCCAGCUUUUUUCAGUUGCAACGUGUUUGCUGGUGGGUUUCAACCCUCAUCAACAAUUCUAUAUUAGUUUGCCAGUUCUAACACUCAUCCUUUUUCCUGGGAUUUUGAAAUCUACACUGAAUGCUGAUUUAUAAGGUAAGUUGCAUGCAUGGUAUGUUAAGUGACCAUGAACCAAAAGUUGCAGUGAUUUAAGGGCCAGGAAUUGGC
rnacentral:lncRNA from 1 species